GAUGAACGCUGGCGGCGUGCUUAACACAUGCAAGUCGAACGGUGAAGCCCAGCUUGCUGGGUGGAUCAGUGGCGAACGGGUGAGUAACACGUGAGCAACCUGCCCCUGACUCUGGGAUAAGCGCUGGAAACGGCGUCUAAUACUGGAUACGAGUAGCGACCGCAUGGUCAGUUACUGGAAAGAUUUAUUGGUUGGGGAUGGGCUCGCGGCCUAUCAGCUUGUUGGUGAGGUAAUGGCUCACCAAGGCGUCGACGGGUAGCCGGCCUGAGAGGGUGACCGGCCACACUGGGACUGAGACACGGCCCAGACUCCUACGGGAGGCAGCAGUGGGGAAUAUUGCACAAUGGGCGCAAGCCUGAUGCAGCAACGCCGCGUGAGGGAUGACGGCCUUCGGGUUGUAAACCUCUUUUAGCAGGGAAGAAGCGAAAGUGACGGUACCUGCAGAAAAAGCGCCGGCUAACUACGUGCCAGCAGCCGCGGUAAUACGUAGGGCGCAAGCGUUAUCCGGAAUUAUUGGGCGUAAAGAGCUCGUAGGCGGUUUGUCGCGUCUGCUGUGAAAUCCGGAGGCUCAACCUCCGGCCUGCAGUGGGUACGGGCAGACUAGAGUGCGGUAGGGGAGAUUGGAAUUCCUGGUGUAGCGGUGGAAUGCGCAGAUAUCAGGAGGAACACCGAUGGCGAAGGCAGAUCUCUGGGCCGUAACUGACGCUGAGGAGCGAAAGGGUGGGGAGCAAACAGGCUUAGAUACCCUGGUAGUCCACCCCGUAAACGUUGGGAACUAGUUGUGGGGUCCAUUCCACGGAUUCCGUGACGCAGCUAACGCAUUAAGUUCCCCGCCUGGGGAGUACGGCCGCAAGGCUAAAACUCAAAGGAAUUGACGGGGACCCGCACAAGCGGCGGAGCAUGCGGAUUAAUUCGAUGCAACGCGAAGAACCUUACCAAGGCUUGACAUAUACGAGAACGGGCCAGAAAUGGUCAACUC
rnacentral:rRNA from 1 species